rnacentral:rRNA from 1 species
AUUAGUGGCAGACGGGUGAGUAAUGCAUAGGAAUCUACCUAGUAGUAUGGGAUAGCCACUAGAAAUGGUGGGUAAUACUGUAUAAUCCCUGCGGGGGAAAGAUUUAUCGCUAUUAGAUGAGCCUAUGUUAGAUUAGCUAGUUGGUGGGGUAAUAGCCUACCAAGGCUGUGAUCUAUAGCUGGUCUGAGAGGAUGAUCAGCCACACUGGAACUGAGACACGGUCCAGACUCCUACGGGAGGCAGCAGUGGGGAAUAUUGGACAAUGGGCGCAAGCCUGAUCCAGCUAUGCCGCGUGAGUGAGGAAGGCCUUAGGGUUGUAAAACUCUUUCAGCAGGGAAGAUAAUGACGGUACCUGCAGAAGAAGUCCCGGCAAACUCCGUGCCAGCAGCCGCGGUAAUACGGAGGGGGCAAGCGUUGUUCGGAAUUAUUGGGCGUAAAGGGCAUGUAGGCGGUUUGGUAAGUUAAAGGUGAAAUGCCAGGGCUCAAC